rnacentral:rRNA from 1 species
UACGUAGGGGGCUAGCGUUGUCCGGAAUCAUUGGGCGUAAAGCGCGUGUAGGCGGUCCGGUAAGUCCGCUGUGAAAGUCGGGGGCUCAACCCUCGGAUGCCGGUGGAUACUGUCGGGCUUGAGUACGGAAGAGGCGAGUGGAAUUCCUGGUGUAGCGGUGAAAUGCGCAGAUAUCAGGAGGAACACCAAUUGCGAAGGCAGCUCGCUGGGACGCUACUGACGCUGAGACGCGAAAGCGUGGGGAGCAAACAGG